UCUCAUUCUGUUGCAUAGGCUGGAGGGCAGUGGGGUGAUCUCGGCUCACUGACACCUCCACCUCCCAGGUUCAAGUGAUUCUCCUAACUCAGCCUCCCAAGUAGCUGAGAUUACAGGUGCAAGCCACCACGCCCAGCUAAUUUUUGUAUUUUUAGUAGAGAUGGGGUUUUGCCAUGUUGGCCAGCCUGGUCUUGAACUCCUGACCUCAAGUAAUCCACUUGCCUCAGCCUCCCAAAGUGCUGGGUUUACAGGCAUGAGCCACCGCAUCUGACUGUUUUUCUUUUCUCUUGAGGCAAAGUCUUGCUCUGUUGCCCAGGCUGCUGGCAGUGGCAUGAUCACAGCUCACUGCAGCCUCAACCUCCUAGACUCGAGCAAUUUUCUCACUUCAGCCUCCUGAGUUGCUGGGACCACAGGUGCACGCACCACCCCCUGGCUUUUAUUUUUUUAUUUUUUUUAUUUUUUGGCAGAGACAGUGUCGCCUUAUGUUGCCCAGGCUGAACACCUGUGUCUCUUAACCUAAGAGCUGUCUCCAGCACAGGAUGCAAGACAGCCCCAAAAAAGUGUUAGGGACUUAAAGCCACCAGAAGCUUUUCUUAACCAAUGGAAUACAGGAGUCAAUGGGAACAUCCUGUCCAGAGGAAAGGAUAUUUAAGGAGAAAGGAAGCAGCACAAGUUCGACUCAGCCAAGAAACAGAGGAAGGACAUCCCAAGCACGAAGUGGGGCACCAGUCUGUGUUCCAGCGAGAGAUAAAAGGGAGAGACACAACUGGCUCCAGCCCUUUUCCUGCCUCUUCCUGCUUUGAAUACUCACAUGAUACCUGGAGCUGCAGCAGCCAUCUUGUUUACCAAGAAGAAAAGCCAAGAUGAUCACAGAAUAGCCAGCACUGGUAUUGUUCCGCCAGCGACAGCAGAUACUUACCUCCAGAUUUUUGGGGAAAAAAAAUAAUGGAAAAGAGAGUGCCCUCCCUCUCUCUUCCUUUCUUUCCUGCAGGAGCUGGAGUGACUCUCUUGGUCCCUAAGGUGGAAGCCAUGUGUUGAGGACACUGAGCAACAAGAUAGGAGGAGCCUGGGGCCCAGCCAGAGAACAGGAAGCCACCCAAAUAGCUCUCAACCCCUUAUAGAUGGACUACUAAAUGGGAAGGCAGGAGGCAUCCGUGAAGGCAAAGAUUCUGUCUGUUCUGCUGAUUUCGGUGGUCCCAGCACCCAGAAUAGUACUGCACGCAAAAGCUUAUCUGUUGAAUGAAUAAUGUGUGAACGAAUGCACUAGGUUAUGAAUCGGGCACCGGCAUUCAGGGAGCACGCCGGACUCUCAUCACAACACUAUAGCUUUAGUACUGAAAAUUCCUCCGCCGGGCGCGCUGGCUCAUACCUGUGAUCCCAGCACUUUAGGAGACCAAGGUGGGUGGAUCACCUGAGGUCAGGAGUUUGAGACCAGCCUGGCCAAACGUGGCGAAACCCCGUCUCCACUAAAAAUACAAAAAUUAGCUGGUGCACGCCUGUAAUCCCAGCAACUCAGGAGGCUGAGGCAGGAGAAUCACUUGAACCCGGGAGGCAGAGGUUACAGUGAGCCGAGAUCACGACAUUGCACUCCAGCCUUGGCGACAAAAGUGAAACACCGUCUGAAAGAAAAAAAAAAAAAAAGAAAGAAAAUUCCUCAGCAGAAGUCUUUGGGAAGGUCAAAGGUGAAACUCCGAAUUGUUCUCAGCUGUGCUUUAACCAUUCCAGCCCCCUGAGAGCCCCAGGGCUCGGUCCGCCGCCCUUCCUUUACAUUCCUGAGCUCUGAAGUCCCCACCUCCUUUCAGCACCCUGAGUUCUUUCCUAGGAUGGAAUGGACUGAAUAAUAUUUUCCAUGUUAGUGAUGGGGUCCAAGAAUGUCCAUGACGCAUGAGACCAGAGCUCCCAGCCCGGAGAAUGGAACGCUGCUCUCUCUGGAGCCACCAGGGGGCGCCAUUUCUCCACGGAGUUUCGCGAAGGCCGCGCCGCAAGAAGCUGCUCUCCCAGCAGGAGGCGAGGCUCUUUGCCUGUUGCAGGGUUGGGUAUGUCGGCAGGAUUUGGAAGUGCUCAAGCAGGUGGUGGGAGAGCUUGCUUUGAUGCUCCCAAAGAAAGUGUUGCCCAGGUUCUCUCCUGCUUGUAAUUAGACCUGUGUUCCACCCCAGACUUUGGCUGCAGCUGCGUGACCCUGGACAAUUCACUGUGAAUGUUGCAGCCGUGGUAACCUCAUCCAUAAGAACACUGGGACCCCAUGGGAUUGUGUGUGGACACAGUGAGAUGAAAGCUUGCAGGCACCAACCAUUGCUCUGAAAUGGGAGCCAGUGAUGGGAUCAGAGGUUGUUAAUUAUACUAGUAAUCAACUGAGCCCUGGUUCUCAAAGCCUGUUCCCUGGAUCAGCAGCAGCACCUGCUAAAUUCUGAUGGCGUUUGAUAGAAAUGCAAAUUCUCAGCCCCACUUCCCCCAAAGUCCUUGAUUGAAUUUAUUAAUCUGCCGGGUGUGAUGGCUCACGCCUGUAAUCCCAGCACUUUGGGAGGCCGAGGCGGAUGGAUCACCUGAGGUUAGGAGUUCAAGACUAACCUGGCUAAUGUGGUGAAACCCCCGUCUCUACUAAAAAUACAAAAAUUAGCUGGGCGUGGUGGCACCUGUAAUACAAAAAUUAGCUGGGCGUGGUGGCGGGCCCCUGUAAUCUCAGCUACUUAGGAGGCUGAGGCAGGAGAAUCGCUUGAACCAGGGAGGCUAAAGUUGCAGUGAGCCGAGAUCAUGCCAUUGCACUCCAGCCUAGGCAAUAAGAGUGAAACUCUGUCAAAAAAAAAAAAAAAAAAAAAAAAGAGUUUCUUAAUCAAAAGGCCUGAGAAUUUCAAGAAAUGCAGAUUCUCAAAUCUUUCAACUGAGAAACUUGGUGGGGGUGAGUCCCUCAAUCAGUGUUUAGCAAGCUGCCCACGUGCUUCUGAUGCCUGCUCAAGUCUGCUUAGAGCAGUAGGGACUUCUCCUGUAGGGGUUUGGAACACAAUACCCCAAAUUACAGCACUUUGGCAAACUGAGCAUUUGAAGCUGAAGGAAUUUGAGGAAACCAUAGAAGCAGGAAGGUCACUCUCUGACCUUCUCCUGCCUUCCUCUUCUGCAGUGGGCCA
rnacentral:lncRNA from 10 species